AGUGAACGCUGGCGGUAGGCUUAACACAUGCAAGUCGAACGGCAGCGCAGUACUUGCGUGGGCUGACGGGGGGGCAGACGGGUACGUAAGAGGAAAACAACCUAAUCUAGACUUUGGGAUGGGUUAACGUAGCUAAACUUACGCCAAGACCGGAUACCACCUUGGAGGGUAGGCGUGGGAACUUUGGACCGGGUGGGAGGGGAUGAGCUGGUGGCGUAUCAGCUUGUUGGCGGGGGAGUGGCCUACGAAGGCGUUGACGGGUAGCCGGCCUGAGAGGGUGGCCGGCCACAUUGGGACUGAGAUACGGCCCAGACUCCUACGGGAGGCAGCAGUGGGGAAUAUUGCACAAUGGGCGGAAGCCUGAUGCAGCAACGCCGCGUGCGGGAUGACGGCCUUCGGGUUGUAAACCGCUUUCGCCUGUGACGAAGCGUGAGUGACGGUAAUGGGUAAAGAAGCACCGGCUAACUACGUG
rnacentral:rRNA from 1 species